UCUCUCUUCACUCUCACUCAGUUUGGAGGCUCUAGUUUCUGAGAGAGCAUCAAAAUAGGGAUUUAGGGUUAGGGUUUUACCGUUCCUUCACCAUCAACCUCUUCAAAAUUCCAACCUUCAUGGCGAUGGAUCCGACCAAGAAGCGCAAGCUCGACGAAAACGGCUUCGGCGCCGGCAGCGAUUCCGACCCUUUAAAGCUCUCUCCCUCUGAAGCCCGCAAAAUCAUUGAGCGCUUCACCCCUGACCAGCUCCUCGACAUCCUGCAAGACGCCGUAGUCCGCCACGCCGACGUCCUCUCCGCAGUGCGCACCGUCGCCGACCCCGACGUCUCCCAGCGCAAGCUAUUCAUCCGCGGCCUCGGCUGGGACACCACCACUGACGGCCUCCGCUCCCUCUUCUCCGCUUAUGGGGACCUUGAAGAAGCCGUCGUCAUCCUCGACAAGGCCACCGGGAAAUCCAAGGGCUACGGCUUCGUCACCUUUCGCCACGUCGACGGUGCCCUCCUUGCGCUCCGUGAGCCAAGCAAGCGCAUUGAUGGGCGCGUGACAGUCACGCAGCUCGCCGCAGCGGGGAAUUCCGCCUCCAACGCCAACGCCGCUGACAUUGCGCUUCGCAAGAUUUACGUUGCUAACGUGCCGCCGGACCUUCCCGCCGAUAAGCUUCUCGCACACUUUUCAGUCUAUGGCGAGAUCGAGGAAGGGCCGUUAGGGUUUGACAAGCAGACAGGGAAAUCGAAGGGUUUUGCGCUCUUUGUUUAUAAAACCCCUGAGGGGGCGCAAGCUGCGCUGUUGGAUCCUGUGAAGACAGUGGAGGGGAGACAAUUGAGUUGCAAGCUUGCGAUAACGGAUGGGAAGCAAGGGAAGCGGGCUGGGCCGGAGGGGCCCCAGGCCCAUGGGAAUGUUCAGCAUGGUCAUCAUGGUCAUGGAGACGCGAUGGGGAUGCCUCCUGCUGCGGCUUCUGGACCAGGCUCGCUGUCAGGCCAGUAUGGAGGCCCUGUUGGGCUGGGUUCUUAUGGUGGGCUUCAGGGUCAGCCUCCGUUGGGUAAUCAUCCUUUGAAUUCGUCAGUUGGUGGGCUGUCUAAUCCAGCGCCGGGGACGAUUGGCGGUGCAGGUGGGUAUGGGGCUGGGAUGGGUGGGCCUUAUGGUGGGUAUGGCGGGCCUGGGUCGACCGGUUUUGGAGGCCUGGGUGGUGGUGCUGGAGGUUUGGGAGGAGGCAGUGGUGGUGCUGGUGCUGGUGGGGGACUUGGGGGUGGUGGUGCUGGUUUGGGUGGUGGCGCUGGUUUUUUGUAUAGGGGAAUGCCUGCUGGUGGUGGAGGAUAUCCUGAGAGUGGACACUAUAGUUUAUCAACUUCUUCUGGGUACCAGAAUCAGCAUCACCCCCCUUCUGGGGCUUCGCCUGUCCCUAGGGUUCCACCUGGUUCGAUGUAUCCGAACGUUCCCCCUUACUACUGAGAGGUGUAUCAUCGCUUAUUGGGCGCAGAUGCUUUGUGUGCUUCUGGUGAUUGCGUGAUUGCAGACUAUGUGCUCUGGUCUAAUGAAUGAUUUAGUUUGUUUUGCUGGUUGAUGACGGAGGCCUUUGCAUCUUUGGUGUUUUGGCAUGAUAUUGUUGAUUGUUAACGUGGAGACUGGUUGAGAAACAUACCGUGUGUUACAUAUGGCAGGCAUUCUGUUUAUAUUGAUAAAAGCGCUUGUAGAUUGAAGAAUGUUUUGCUUCCUUUUUGUUCCAUUUCUUUUUGCAUCCAAAUCCUUUGUAGUGUUUAGAAAAUAAUACAUUCUGAAUUCUGAUGAGACGAUUAAGGGCAACCUGGUGCUACAAAGCUCUCAACAUGGUGGGGGUGUAAGGGGGUGUAAGGAAGGGACAGAUUCAAUUCAUUAUGGGGUCUAUUUUAGGCAGCCUUGCCUUGCAUUUGAGAGAGGCUUAUUUCAUGAGUUGAACCUUUAAUCUCCUAGUCACAAGGAACUCUAAUAUUGUGCCGAGGUUUUCCUUCUAAAUCUAGGAAAUGAUAUUUACACAAUUUUAUAGUAGCAGUUUGAUCUUGGAUCUCAAUUAUUCGGUCUUUGUGCUUGUAUUCUCUGUAGCUAAACCUGGAAUGGCCCCACAAUUUAUUACCUGGCUUUCUGUUAUCUGUCCGCUUCUUUUCCCUUCCAUCUCCCAUCUGUAGCACAAUUACAUGCUUGUGGAAUGUGUUUGAUAACUGCUUUAUCUAUUAUUUUUAAUUAUGGGUGUAUUCUAGUAGGACUUUGAUGGUCUACUCCAGAUAUUUCACCCUG